CAAGAAUCGAGGCUGACGGUGCCUACUCCCUAGGCUCCGUCCAGUCCCGCUCUCUACCUUGCCUACUGCACCGUUUGUUGCUUCCUGGCGGCGUCCCGUCGCCAGGGCCUUUUGAAAGCCAAGUAUAAGCAUUGAAACUUCCUGACAUACACUAAAUCGUA
rnacentral:misc_RNA from 1 species